rnacentral:lncRNA from 1 species
CCGGAAGGGCCGAGGGAUGUCAGGGACGUGGAAGAACUGAUUGCUACCCAGAAAAAAAAACUGCACUCGGCUUUGCUUCCAACAUAGCAGUUAAGCUGCUGAGAAAGGAACGUCAGUGAAGAGGCAUUCGUCCACACGUCUUCCUUAACAAGGAUAGACCCGCGGCUCUCUCUAGAGCCGGCGACGCGACUCCCAAUGCCCAAUGCUCGUGAAAAGGCCUGUGUAAAGCCCGCCCGCGCACCGGGCCAGCCUGGGGCCUGUGGAGCCGGGAAGAGGAAGAACUGGUUUCCAGCAGCCGCUUGCAAUCCUCGAGCGCAAAGGAGAUGUCCCGGCGCGAGGACUCCAGAUUGCCCGCUCGCACGCGUACAACAGAAGAGCGUGCCCGAGAAAGCCCAACGCCUGGGUCACGCACCAGGCUGGAAGAUGAUUUACCUGUUGAAGAACUUUGGCCAUUUGACCUGUGAUGUUUCCUAAGUGAGGAUUUUGCUGACUACGUACUUAUGGUGCCGCUCUCCAUUUUCCUCCAUCUUCUGUACGUCCUGCAAAUUGGCAGCUGAGUCCAGCAGCUUGAUCAGACUCAGAUUUCAUUCCUUUGGCAAAAACGACUGGCCAAGCCUGCAGCUUUGUUAACCAACCCUGAAUGCAUGGAGCUGAAGCAACCUGCUUCCACGUUGAUCACAACCACAAGUGGAGUCACACUGAUGCACGUGUCACAUUGAUUCCUCUGGCCUCCCUGGACCGAUAUGAAUCUAGUGUCUUUGAAGACAGAGACAGCCAAGGGGAGAUGCAGAGCAAGCGCAGGCAGUUGGGUGCGUCAGCCUGGAGAGCAGAGAAGAGCGUGGGUGUCAACAUGCACGUUGGAGCCCUUGGUGUCCGGAUGGUGUUUAAAAUCCAAGGAAAGACGAGGCCACCUAAGGAGAGAGAAGAAGGUUGCAAAUGGGCCCUGAGUGAGCCAAGCGCUCACACCAGGAGCUGGGAGCUGGGAGCCAGCCAAGGAGCCCCAGGGUGAAGGGGAAACCCCCUCGGUGUUUGAAGAGAGACACACUUAGAACUUUUUCAACUUAAUUAAGGUGACAGCAUAUACAUUCUGCUCUGCCAUCACUUUUACAGCUUG